rnacentral:rRNA from 1 species
UACGUAGGGUGCGAGCGUUGUCCGGAAUUAUUGGGCGUAAAGAGCUCGUAGGCGGUCUGUCGCGUCGAUCGUGAAAACUUGGGGCUUAACCCUGAGCUUGCGGUCGAUACGGGCAUGACUGGAGUUCGGCAGGGGAGACUGGAAUUCUUGGUGUAGCGGUGAAAUGCGUAGAUAUCAAGAGGAACACCUGAGGCGAAGGCGGGUUGCUAGGCUGACACUGACGCUGAGUGCGCGAAAGCCAGGGGAGCAAACGGG